AUCUUUUUUCCAAUUGCACUGAGGAAUGUAAAGCGCUGGGCCACUCUGACCGAUGCUGGAUGCCUUCUUUUGUCCCUUCGGAUGGACGCCAGGCUGCCGAUUACCGCAGCAACCUGCAUGUCCCUGGCAUGGACUCUGUUCCAGACACCGAGGUCUUUGAACCUCCAGAAAUCCAGCCUGGGGCGGAGCGUUCUUUCUCUACUUUCGGCAAAGAGAAGGCCCUGCAUGGCACCCUGGAGAGGAAGGAGCUGGACGGAUUGCUGUCUAAUACACGAGCGCCUUACAAACCACCAUAUUUGACGCGGAAAAGGAUAUGCUAGUCAAUUCUGCAGCUUACCUGAAGCAGUACGAUUUGCACAGAGUCGACCAACAAAAGCAUCAACUUUUCAACUUCAUUAUCUUGGCCAUCCAGUUAGUUGUGUGUAGCUGAGUGUUAGAUUUCCAGCGGAUUCAUCGUGGCCACGUGUAGGACCUAAUUGCUCUCAGCAGGCCUGAGGAAUGAGUUGAAAUGUGCAGACUGUAGAAACUCCAUAGGCAACCGGCGUUGCCUCUCCGAUCAGUGUGUGCCUGUUUACAGCACUAUCUGUCCUUCUCUCUCCAAAUGUCACUGAGCCCUUUAGAUGUUUAUAUUCACCAUGAGAAGCCAGUCAUCAAGAUAAAAGAAAUUUGUGCAUUAUAAAUGCAAUAUCACUGUUUUAAACUUGACUGUUUUAUAUUAUUUUUGUGUGACCAAGUGUUCCCCAAACUAUCCCCA
rnacentral:lncRNA from 1 species